GAUGAAGAACGCAGCUAAAUGCGAUAAGUAAUGUGAAUUGCAGAAUUCAGUGAAUCAUCGAAUCUUUGAACGCACAUUGCGCCCGCCAGUAUUCUGGUGGGCAUGCCUGUUCGAGCGUCAUUUCAACCAUCAAGCCCCCGGCUUGUGUUGGGGACCUGCGGCUGCCGCAGGCCCUGAAAAGCAGUGGCGGGCUCGCUGUCACACCGAGCGUAGUAGCAUACAUCUCGCUCUGGGCGUGCUGCGGGUUCCGGCCGUUAAACCACCUUCAUAACCCAAGGUUGACCUCGGAUCAGGUAGGAAGACCCGCUGAACUUAAGCAUAUCAAUAAGCGGAGGA
rnacentral:misc_RNA from 1 species